GGGUGUGAGUAGAGUGGCGCACGGGUGAGUAAUGGAUAGGAACGUGCCUUUGGGAGGGGGAUACCACGGGAGGGUGUGGCUAAUACCGCAUGGUCUCGCAAGAGUAAAGGUGGCCUCUACUUGUAAGCUACCACCCAAAGAUCGGCCUAUCUCCCAUUAGCUUGUUGGUGAGGUAACGGCUCACCAACGCAACGAUGGGUAGCUGGUCUGAGAGGAUGAUCAGCCACACUGGGACUGAGACACGGCCCAGACUCCUACGGGAGGCAGCAGUGGGGAAUUUUGCACAAUGGGCGCAAGCCUGAUGCAACAACGCCGCGUGAAUGAAGAAGGCCCUUGGGUUGUAAAGUUCUUUCGGCUAGGAAGCAGGGACUCAGUGAAAAUAUUGCUGGGUUCUGACGGUACUAGAAGAAGAAGCACCGGCUAACUCCGUGCCAGCAGCCGCGGUAAUACGGAGGGUGCAAGCGUUGUUCGGAAUGACUGGGCGUAAAGAGCACGUAGGCGGGCUAGUAAGUCAAUUGUGAAAGCCCAGAGCUUAACUUUGGAAUUGCAGUUGAAACUGCUAGUCUUGAAUACCUGAGAGGGUGGGAGAAUACCUGGUGUAGAUGUGAAAUUCGUAGAUAUCAGGAGGAAUAUCCGAGGCGAAGGCGCCUGCCUGGCAGUGUAUUGACGCUGAGGUGCGAAAGCGUGGGUAGCACACAGGAUUAGAUAGCCUGGUAGUCCACGCCGUAAACGAUGGAUACUACGUGUUCGGAGCGUUAACCCUCUGAGUACCGUAGCUAACGCAUAAAGUAUCCGCCUGGGGAGUACGG
rnacentral:rRNA from 1 species